rnacentral:lncRNA from 1 species
GUACAAGUUGCACUGUCUCACCUCCUGUCUCACCUCCCGUCUCACCUCCUGUCUCACCUCCUGUCUUACCUCCUGUCUCACCUCCUGUUUUACCUCCUGUCUCACCUGUUGUCUCACCUCCUGUCUCACCUCCCGUCUCACCUCCUGUCUCACCUCCUGUCUCACCUCCCGUCUCACCUCCUGUCUCACCUCCUGUCUUACCUCCUGUCUCACCUCCUGUUUUACCUCCUGUCUCACCUGUUGUCUCACUUCCUGUCUCGCCUCCUGUCUCACUUCCUGUCUCACCUCCUGUCUCACCUCCUGUCUCACCUCCUGUCUCACCUCCUGUCUCACUUCCUGUCUUACCUCCUGUCUCACCUCCUGUCUCGCCUCCUGUCUCACUUCCUGUCUCACCUCCUGUCUCGCCUCCUGUCUCACCUCCUGUCUCACCUCCUGUCUCACCUCCUGUCUCGCCUCCUGUCUCACCUCCUGUCUCCCUCCUGUCUCACCUCCUGUCUUACCUCCUGUCUCACCUCCUGUUUUACCUCCUGUCUCACCUCUUGUCUCACCUCCUGUCUCACCUCCUGUCUCACCUCCCGUCUCACCUCCUGUCUCACCUCCUGUCUUACCUCCUGUCUCACCUCCUGUUUUACCUCCUGUCUCACCUGUUGUCUCACUUCCUGUCUCACCUCCUGUCUCGCCUCCUGUCUCACUUCCUGUCUCACCUCCUGUCUCACCUCCUGUCUCACCUCCUGUCUUACCUCCUGUCUCACUUCCUGUCUUACCUCCUGUCCACCUCCUGUCUCACUUCCUGUCUCACUUCCUGUCUUACCUCCUGUCUCACCUCCUGUCUCGCCUCCUGUCUCGCUUCCUGUCUCACCUCCUGUCUCGCCCUCCUGUCUCACCUCCUGUCUCCCCUCCUGUCUCACCUCCUGUCUCACCUCCUGUCUCACCUCCUGUCUCACCUCCUGUCUAACCUGUUGUCUCUUCCUUUCUAGGAGGGUCUCUCUGCUGGUCCUGGAGCCUCUCCGUGUCUUCCCCUGA